AUAACGACUCUCGGCAACGGAUAUCUCGGCUCUCGCAUCGAUGAAGAACGUAACGAAAUGCAAUACUUGGUGUGAAUUGCAGAAUCCCGUGAACCAUCGAGUCUUUGAACGCAAGUUGCGCCCUAAGCCUUUUGGCCGAGGGCACGUCUGCCUGGG
rnacentral:rRNA from 1 species